GUGCCGGGAGCGCGUCUGUGGACAGUGCGGGCCGAGCUACAGAGUACAGUGUCAGUAGAACAGUACAGUGGUACAGUGAGACAGUGUCAGUGCUACAGUACAUAGUAUAGCGUGCUGCAGUACACCACAACACACCAGCCGGGCUGUGCGGCGUGGCGUGGCGCGGUGUGCCAGGUGUGGAUCAAUUCUUGUACUUCCUCUUCUCCGCAGAUAAUUGAGAUCGAAACAUCGAUUCAGAGUUUCUUGUGAGUAGAUAAUUUAAUAAAUUGAUUGACCAGUUAAGGAGAUGGCAUCGUAUUGGUAGACAUAUCAACAAUCAAUG